UGUGUUCAGCUGAAUUGGAUUAGUAUUUUGUUAGACGGGUAUAAGAAAAAAGCUUAGUUUAUCGCAGCAGCAGUCGCGGCAGCUGUUGUGUGAAGGCCUCCUCAUGUGAAGACUGAAGAAAGUAAAGACCAUCGACUACCGUGCGACUGCACCGGACAGGGACACCGGCAAAGGAUAUAAAGCGUACGGACAAUACGAGAUGCUCAUGGAGAUGAUGCCCAUGCUGCUGAUCAUCACCAUGGAGACGUAGACGUUGGGGAAGAUCGCCAUGACAGCCGUACCGAUGGCGAAGCUCAGAGUGCCCAGGAUGUAGAUGACCUUUAUGCUCAGGUCAAAGUUAUCCAGAUGACCUGCCCCAUGAAGUCGGUGUAAAACACGGCCUCUGCGAUGAUGGAGAACCACGUGACCAGGUGACACACGCACAGUCUGAACAGCUCUUUGGGCAUCUUCAGCAUGGACAUCCAGAGC